CCGUGAAGCCGGAUUCGCUAGUAAUCGCGCAUCAGCCAUGGCGCGGUGAAUACGUUCCCGGGCCUUGUACACACCGCCCGUCAAGCCAUGGAAGCCGGGGGUGCCUGAAGUGUGCAGCCGCAAGGAGCGCCCUAAGGUAAAACCGGUGACUGGGGCUAAGUCGUAACAAGGUAUC
rnacentral:rRNA from 1 species